rnacentral:rRNA from 1 species
UACGUAGGGCGCAAGCGUUGUCCGGAAUUAUUGGGCGUAAAGAGCUCGUAGGCGGCCUGUUGCGUCCGCUGUGAAAACCCGGGGCUUAACCCCGGGCUUGCAGUGGAUACGGGCAGGCUGGAGGCAGGCAGGGGAGAACGGAAUUCCCGGUGUAGCGGUGAAAUGCGCAGAUAUCGGGAGGAACACCGGUGGCGAAGGCGGUUCUCUGGGCCUGUACUGACGCUGAGGAGCGAAAGCGUGGGGAGCGAACAGGA